rnacentral:rRNA from 1 species
UCCGCCCGGGGACUACGAGCAUUAGCUUAAAACCCAAAGGACUUGGCGGUGCUUUACCCCCCACUAGAGGAGCCUGUUCUAGAACUGAUAACCCCCGUUGAACCUCACCAUCCCUCGUUUAACCCGCCUAUAUACCGCCGUCGUCAGCUUACCCUGUGAAGGCCAAAUAGUAAGCAAAAAUGGCUAAGCCAAAAACGUCAGGUCGAGGUGUAGUGAAUGGGAUGGGAAGAAAUGGGCUACAUUCUCUGCCA